CAGCCGCCACGGUAAUACGUAGGUGGCAAGCGUUGUCCGGAAUUAUUGGGCGUAAAGGGCUCGCAGGCGGUUUCUUAAGUCUGAUGUGAAAGCCCCCGGCUCAACCGGGGAGGGUCAUUGGAAACUGGGAAACUUGAGUACAGAAGAGGAGAGUGGAAUUCCACGUGUAGCGGUGAAAUGCGUAGAGAUGUGGAGGAACACCAGUGGCGAAGGCGACUCUCUGGUCUGUAACUGACGCUGAGGAGCGAAAGCGUGGGGAGCGAACAGGAUUAGAUACCCCCGUAGUCCCUGUCUCUUAUAC
rnacentral:rRNA from 1 species